AGCAUGUGUUGCCGUGCAGCGGGACGGAGCUCGACCGCCCGUUUCGGAAAUGAUUGCUUUUAUCAAAGAACAUCGUGGGGUGUGUGGGGUCGAGCUGAGCUACUCCCCA
rfam:Planktotalea frisia strain SH6-1 PFRI_contig000136, whole genome shotgun sequence.